AUACUUACCUGGCAGGGGAGAUACCAUGAUCACGAAGGUGGUUUCCCCAAGGUGAAGGCUCAUCCAUUGCACUCCAGAUGUGCUGACCCUGAGAUUUCCCCAAAUGUAGGAAACUCGACUGCAUAAUUUGUGGUAGUGGGGGACUGCAUUUGUGCUCUCCCCUG
rnacentral:snRNA from 1 species